AUCGAGAUUUACGUAGAUUUCCGGAAGCGCAUCUGUGGAAAUUUAAGACCGCUGAUAGUAAUAAGUAUCUUUGCUCGGCACGUAGAAACGGUGUUGCAAAAUAUAAACCACCAUCGGAAGCAAAUACCCUCGAUAUGCAGAGUUUGUCCCAGGAACUUGCUGCCGUACUCUCAUAUCCAUCGACAAGUUCAUUGCAACAAACAUCGUCAAGUGAUUGGACUGAAGAUCAUUCUAUUGAAAAUUUUUUGAAACUCAGUCCAAUUCAACGAAAAAAUCUACACAGGGAACAAUACGUGACGAAGAAAUGCGAUGAGAUUCAUGAAGCAGUAUCAAAAAAAAAUCAAGCUAGAAUACGGAAGUGAAAUCGAAACAACAGCAGAAAAAGUGCAAAAGUAUUUUGCGUCAAUGUUGGCGAAUCUGAAAACCCGUUACCAUUCUGAAACUAAUAAGUCACGUAAAAUUGAGUACCUCUCGGUAUUGCCAGAUACGUGGAGCAUUUGUGCGAUCGAAGAGGAGCUUAAUUGCUCGUACUGGUAUGCUCUGGCUGCGAAAAAACUUUCUGCAGGAACUGAACUCGGGACUGAAGUGUCUGAAUCUACACGUCCUGGAAAUAGAUCUAUUGACUCAAACGUUCGCCAACGUGUCAUAGAAUAUUACGAAGAUCAAGAGAAUGUGAAAGAGAUGCCAGGGAAGAAGGACGUUAAAUCAGUGAAGAAUCCCGAUGGUUCACGCACUCAGAGACAAAAAAAAACAAUUGAUCUUUAACCUCCGUGAAUUGUACUCCAAUUUCAUCAAUAAUAAUCCAGAUCUUCGUAUUGGAUUUGCCAAAUUCGCCGAGUUAAGACCUCAGCAUUGUGUUUUGGCUGGAGCGGCGGGCACCCAUACAGUAUGUGUGUGUACUAUACACCAAAACUUGAAGCUUAUGUUGGAAGGCUGUAAACUAUCGACGUUAGCAAAGGACUCUGAUUGGUUCGAUAACUCUCAGCCAGUUUAUAAGAGUCUCCUGGCUAAAUUUCUUUGUCCAGAGCCAACAGAGUCAUGUUACUAUCGGUUGUGCAAAAAUUGUCCGAAAAUCUCCACCGUAAUUGAUGAAAUGAAUGGACUGUUUGAGAAUAAUGAAAAGGACAAAAUUCGUUACAAGAAGUGGACGUCAACGAAUCACUGCACCUUGGUUGAGGUGAUAUGUUCCACAGAAAUUUUCUUGCAGUCACUCUCGGAACAGAUUGGGAAAAUAUGAAGCAUGACUUUGACGCAAAGUCACAAAGUAGAUACUACUCAAAUUUGAAGACCCAACUGAAAUCAGGCGAAUUUCUAGUGACGUUAGAUUUUGCAGAAAACUAUGCCUUUAUAGUACAAGAAGCAGCGCAAGCCUUCCAUUGGAAUAAUGACCAAGCAACUCUUUUCCCAAUGGUUGUGUAUUACAUGGAGAAUGAUGAGUCUAAACAUUGCAGCUUCGUUGGCAUCUCUGAUUGUAGACAUCAUGAUACAGUGGCUGUUCAUUUGUUCCAAGAAGAAUUGAUAAAAUAUUUGAAACAAAAAUUCCAGAAUGUUUCAAAAAUAUAUUAUUUUUCGGAUGGAGCACCACAACAGUUUAAGAACAAAUCGGCUUUCAUCAAUUUGUGCUACCACACAAAUGACUUUGGGCUAAAGGCUGAAUGGCAUUUUUUUGCUACAGCCCAUGGGAAGGGACCAUGUGAUGGGUUAGCAGGCACGAUCAAACGUCACGCUGCGAGGGCAUCUCUUCAAAUGGGCACGAGAAACGAAAUUUUAACACCCUUGGCAUUGUAUGACUGGGCACGUCGGUCAUUUAAAAACAUCGAUUUUACUUUUAUUUCGAAUGAGAAAUACGAAUCAGACGCAGUACAGCUAAAGUCAAGAUUUGCUAAUGCUGUGGCUAUAAAAAAGACGCAAUCUAUGCAUUGUAUUAUCCCUGA